CUCCUACGGGGGGGGCAGCAGUAGGGAAUCUUCGGCAAUGGACGAAAGUCUGACCGAGCAACGCCGCGUGAGUGAAGAAGGUUUUCGGAUCGUAAAACUCUGUUGUUAGAGAAGAACAAGGACGUUAGUAACUGAACGUCCCCUGACGGUAUCUAACCAGAAAGCCACGGCUAACUACGUGCCAGCAGCCGCGGUAAUACGUAGGUGGCAAGCGUUGUCCGGAUUUAUUGGGCGUAAAGCGAGCGCAGGCGGUUUCUUAAGUCUGAUGUGAAAGCCCCCGGCUCAACCGGGGAGGGUCAUUGGAAACUGGGAGACUUGAGUGCAGAAGAGGAGAGUGGAAUUCCAUGUGUAGCGGUGAAAUGCGUAGAUAUAUGGAGGAACACCAGUGGCGAAGGCGGCUCUCUGGUCUGUAACUGACGCUGAGGCUCGAAAGCGUGGGGAGCAAACAGGAUUAGAUACCCUGGUAGUCCACGCCGUAAACGAUGAGUGCUAAGUGUUGGAGGGUUUCCGCCCUUCAGUGCUGCAGCAAACGCAUUAAGCACUCCGCCUGGGAGUCGAACCA
rnacentral:rRNA from 1 species